GUCUACGGCCAUGCCACCCUGAAUAAGCCCGAUCCUGUCUGAUCUCGGAAGCUAAGCAAGGUCGGGCCUGAUUAGUACUUGGAUGGGAGACCACCUAGGAAGACCAAGUGCUGUAGGCA
rnacentral:rRNA from 1 species